rnacentral:rRNA from 1 species
UACGUAGGGGGCAAGCGUUGUCCGGAAUUAUUGGGCGUAAAGAGCUUGUAGGCGGUUUGUCGCGUCUGCUGUGAAAAUCCGGGGCUCAACCCCGGACUUGCAGUGGGUACGGGCAGACUGGAGUGUGGUAGGGGAGACUGGAAUUCCUGGUGUAGCGGUGGAAUGCGCAGAUAUCAGGAGGAACACCGAUGGCGAAGGCAGGUCUCUGGGCCACUACUGACGCUGAGAAGCGAAAGCAUGGGGAGCGAACAGG